UACGUAGGUGACAAGCGUUGUCCGGAUUUACUGGGCGUAAAGAGCGCGCAGGCGGUCGAUCAAGUCGAGUGUGAAAGCCCCCGGCUCAACUGGGGAGGGUCAUUCGAUACUGAUCGACUCGAAGGCAGGAGAGGGUAGUGGAAUUCCCGGUGUAGUGGUGAAAUGCGUAGAUAUCUGGAGGAACACCGGUGGCGAAGGCGGCGUUCUGGACUGCAACUGACACUGAGAAACGAAAGCCAGGGUAGCAAACGGG
rnacentral:rRNA from 1 species